rnacentral:lncRNA from 1 species
AAAGGCCCCAUCUUACAUGUUCAACACCAAAACAAAUGCAACUUUUGUUGCAAAUUUGGACACAAGACGCAUUAUUGUCCAUUCAAGAAAAUUAGUCCAAAUAAACUGAUUUGGGUUCCUAAAGGAACCAUGAUAAAUUCUAUGCAACAUGAUAGACAAUGUAGAUCUAUUUGUGAGGCACCCAAAAGCAAAUGGGUACCUAAAAAAUCAUCCUUUCCUGUAAAAACAUAAAAAAAAAAA